AGAGUUUGAUCCUGGCUCAGGACGAACGCUGGCGGCGUGCUUAACACAUGCAAGUCGAGCGGAAAGGCCCUUCGGGGUACUCGAGCGGCGAACGGGUGAGUAACACGUGAGCAACCUGCCCCUAGCUCUGGGAUAGCUCCGGGAAACCGGGAUUAAUACCGGAUAUGACUACGGUCGGCAUCGACUGUAGUGGAAAGAUU
rnacentral:rRNA from 1 species